rnacentral:rRNA from 1 species
UUCACUCGGGCAGUUUGGGUCAUAGUUCAAGUAGUUUCGAAUCUAUACCCACCAUGUAGUGCACGAAACAUGUUCGGCAACUGGUUGCCGGGUAUUGAUAAACAAUUUUCUGCACAUAUUCUUGUGGGAGCGGCGGCCUUAUGCUGGGCACUGUGGCUUACCAGGAAUGAUGUGAUUUUUAAUAACAAAUGUGUCUCAUCUCCUAUGCAGGUUAUUCAUGUGUGUACACGAUGGCUCCGUACUUGGUCUAUCCUGCAGAGUCCGGAGGACAGGGGCCUUUUUAUGAUGGCGUCUAUACGGCUGGAGCGUUCGGCCAAGGAAGUUUUCUACCCCCAUAGAUGGCGGUGUGACCUACGGAUAGGAUCUGCCACUCCUUAG